rnacentral:rRNA from 1 species
GACGAACGCUGGCGGCGUGCUUAACACAUGCAAGUCGAACGAAGUAGCGAACGGGUGAGUAAUACGUGGGUAACCUGCCCUCCUUUUUGGGAUAAGCCUUGGAAACGGGGUCUAAUACCGAAUAAAGGGGGAUGGGCUCGCGGUCUAUAAGCUUGUUGGUGGGGUGAUGGCCUACCAAGGCGGUGACGGUUAGCCGGCCUGAGAGGGGGACCGGCCAAAUUGGGACUGAGAACCGGCCAAGACUCCUACGGGAGGAAGCAGUGGGGGAUAUUGCACAAGGGGCGAAGGCCGGAUGCAGCCAUGCGGCGUGUAUGAAGAAGGCCUUCGGGUGGUAAAGUACUUUCAGCGGGGAGACGGUACCCGCAGAAGAAGCACCGGCUAACUCCGUGCCAGCCGCCGCGGUAAUUC